ACGCCUGUCCACCGCCUCUCUCCCUCAUCCGAUUCUCUCUUCUCCUUUGGCCUCCUGCGCACGCCAGCUCCUUCGUCUCUCUCUCUUUCUUUGUGCGACGCCUUCAGCUUCUUCUCCAUGAUCAUUUUCCCUCCAUCUCCUCUGCCAUCUACCGAAGCCACUCAUCCCCUGCUCCACUCACAUACGCCCACCUCCACUCACGAUUCUCCAUCUGCUUCGGUCAACAGCAGCAACAACUGAAGCUCCUCGGUUGACCGCAAAAGCCCAGCAGCAGCGACGUCCACGAAGCUGCUCCAUCGUCCGCACGUCCGCGCCACUUGUCCCUGCACCGCGACUCUUUGGUCAAGAGCCGCAGGUUGCUCCCAUUUGGUUGACCACCGAACGAAGUCGAAGCAGCUCCGUUCUUCACGGCGUCUUCUUCAGCUCGUGCGAAGCGACCCAACCCAGCAACUUCACGUGCGACACCUCCUGCCGUUACCUCGAGCAGCACCGUUCGAAGACCACCCGCCAGCUGCUUCCUCAUCCGUUGAUCUUCGUGAAGCGGGUUCAACAUCUUCGAGAAUUCCAGCGCCCGCAUGCCCCGAUCCCAGCUGCCAGCAAUUGCGCGAAGCUGCACGCGUGCAACCGAGCGGCCCAUCAGCCCAGCGUCUUCAGGUUUCGGCCCAGCUCCUUCUGUCUCGCGGGCCCAAAGAAUUGAGUCCAUCCAGCCCUUAAGUCAGUGAAGUCAGUCCAAAUUCGGCCCAUCUCCAGCAGUCUUCAGCCCACUGAUCAGCCCAGUUUCCUUUGUGCAACUUACUCGGCCCUAUUGCAGCAAAUCAAGUGAAGACCGGCCCGCGAAGAAAGCCCAAGCCCACGACCAGCAGCCCUGCAGAAGCCCAAGACCAAAACUCAGCCUUGCUGAGUUGUGUUGGGCCCGUUUUAGGCCCGGUCCGAGAGUUCGCCGACACUGCCGAAAAUUAACAUUUUGGCCGCUGUCGCGUCGUCGUCGCGGUGAACCGGUUUCCACAAUUAACCGGGUCGUCGAGUGGAGGACUGGGAGCCGAGAGAAGGUGAUGUGAAGUGUAGGUCAGCUAGGACCAUUUCUUUUUGGAAAGUGGUUCUUUUGUGGCCUUUUGGUCAUAGACCUUGUACUUGACAUUAUGUGAAUAUAAAAACAUGUUUGUUCUA